CAGGUAGUUGGUGAGGUAACGGCUCACCAAGCCUAUGACGGGUAGCUGAUCUGAGAGGAUGAUCAGCCAGAAUGGAACUGAGACACGGUCCAUACUCCUACGGGAGGCAGCAGUGAGGAAUCUUCCGCAAUGGGCGAAAGCCUGACGGAGCGACACCGCGUGAAGGAUGAAGCCUUUUUUAGGUGUAAACUUCUGUCAUGAGGGACGAAAUUUUUGACGGUACCUCAUAAGAAAGCAUCGGCUAACCCUGUGCCAGCAGCCGCGGUAAGACAGGGGAUGCAAGCGUUACUCGGAAUUACUGGGCGUAAAGCGUCUGCAGGUGUCGCGUAAAGUCUGUCGUAAAAGCACAGGGCCCAACCCCGUGUACGUGACGGAAACUUACGCGAUUGAGUCACUCAGAGGCAUCUGGAAUGUCGUGUGUAGGGGUAAAAUCCGUAGAUCCACGAUGGAACGCCAAAAGCGAAGGCAGGAUGCUGGGAGUGUACUGACACUCAGAGACGAAAGCGUGGGGAGCAAAGGGGAUUAGAU
rnacentral:rRNA from 1 species